rnacentral:sRNA from 1 species
CAACUUUAUAGUUGGGAUUUGGAAACUUGAUUGGAAAAAAGUACCCAUUUAUAUCUCGGAACAAGGCCUUAUGACGUGUGAAUAAAGAGAUGGAA